UACGUAGGGGGCAAGCGUUGGUCCGGAUUUAUUGGGCGUAAAGAGCGUGUAGGCGGCCAGGUAGGUCCGUUGUGAAAACUGGAGGCUUAACCUCCAAGCUGUCGAUGGAAACCAUCUGGCUAGAGUCCGGAAGAGGAGAGUGGAAUUCCUGGUGUAGCGGUGAAAUGCGCAGAUAUCAGGAAGAACACCCGUGGCGAAGGCGGCUCUCUGGGACGGUACUGACGCUGAGACGCGAAAGCGUGGGGAGCGAACAGG
rnacentral:rRNA from 1 species